UGAGUGCGGUGAUGCCGUGGCCGGUCCCGGGCUUCGGGGCGGGGUAGAGUCGCAGAUGCUGAGAUUUCAUCUCAGAAAUCUUGUUGGCCCUCUCUUCAAAAUAUAUCUACAACCUGAGAAUUUACCGCCUCUACUGCUACCUGAAGUUGGCUCUGGAGAGUGGUGAAUCGGAGGGGACCUCAGGCAG